CCAGUACACACUGCCAUGACGCAGAAAAGCUCACAGGAACAUCCUGCAGGGAUCUGCUUGCUCAUUUGUAAACUGGGGAGUCCGGUUCGGAUCGAAGUCUUCUGUGGAACCGGUGCUUUCACCCAGCUCUCCUCUGCCGGCGUCACUCUGAGAGCAGCUGCCCACUGUCUCAGGGGUACUUUUCAGGAGCAACACUUGGCCGGAAGCCGGGAAACCGAGGGGGCCGGGACACUGGCGAGCCGCUGCCCACCUUCCGGUCCAGCCCGGGGCUCAGUGCUGCGGCGCGUGCGCUCUGCCAGACCCCCCUCCCCCGACACACACUUGGCGCGCAUCUCAUGCACCCAGGGCUCGCCUCAUGGGGGGCGGAGCCGGGUCUUCCUCAUCUCCUCCAACAGAUUCUGUGCUGCGGGAACUGGGAGCCCACGCUGCUCAGGAGCUGGGAAGCCACGGAGCCGCCGACUCGGGCCUUGCCUGGACGCCGUGAGAGCCCGGAAGCCCGGCUCGUCCUGCGGAGCCGGCUGAGGGCCAAACACCCCCGCCUCCCAAGGGAAGAGCCGGAAGUCUCACGGUGGCAGAUCCUGUGAAUAUGGAUGAGGACACAGUGGCAUGUUUACAUGAGCUGCCUUUCCUUUGGAAGACACUUGGCAACAUCAUGUACCAUAUUUUUGAUCAUACCUCAUAAAGACAUGCAGGAAGAGAGGACUUCCAGAAGAGAUUUAGAAAGUGGCAGAAGGAUAGGCUAAGGAGGGAGGAGGAUUAUGAGGGGGACUCAUGGGAAAUGUGUCUUUUUCUGUAAUAAUUGAAAACAACUGUAACAUUCAUUGCCUAGUUCAGUCACACCUCAUGUGCUGUUUUCUCCUCCGCACUGACUUUCACAUCCCCAUGCCCACUGUUCCUUCACCUUCAAGGGACUCAGGGGAGGCUCCUGGGCAGGGGAUUUAUACAGGGUCAGGUCUGGGAAUCAUGCAGCAGCAGCAUUUGGUAGGAAUGGUUUAGUCUUGAGCCCUUCAAGAGGAAACUCUGAAAACAAGACGUAAAACGAGACAUUUAUGGAACCAAAGGAAUUAAAAAGUGCACCUCCUACACAUCCAUUCAGGUAAUACUCAUGAGGUCUGGACUGUUGGACUCAUUUUCCUUUGGAGACACCAAAGCUCAGAGUCCAAGUAACUUCCUGAGUUCUACCAGAAAGAGAGGUGAAGUCAGGCUUUGGAACCACAUAGGAUUGACUGCAAUGCCAUGCCUUCCCCUUGGUGGAAGGAAUGAUGAAUAUUAAGAGUGUAAGCCAAGAAAUCAUAAGAUAAAAGCAAAGUGGAAGGAAUAUAGACUUGGGAUUUUCAAACAAGAAGUAGAUCAUGACUUGAUAUUCUUUGGGGUAGAUAAGCAGGGUCAGAGAAAGUUCAGCAUGCAUCAGGGUGUUUGUAAAUUUUGUGAUUGCACUGCUAUAUCCUGGUCAAGAAGCAAAACAAACAAUCUAGUUUCCCCAAGCUUGCAAAGUAUUGCUAGGUCGCAGAAAACUCUCUAACAGGUUCCAUUCCUGCUAUGAUGUCUAUGUGGCAGUUUACCCCCGAUCAAUAAAUUCUGUAAGGACCAGAAAAGGAUUUUGCUCUUUUUGACCAUUCUGCAGGCUUUUGAUUUUUAUGUUGUCAAGACUUCUCGGAGGUUCUCAAAUGCCAGUAGUAAAAUCCUCCCCCAUAACUCUUUCCUAUGUUUUGGUCAAGCCCAUACCCAAGAAGAUGUCUUGCAUUGGGAAUAGAGGAUAUCAUCUCCCCAGAAGACAUAUGUGGAUGGAAAACUUAAGACAAAGAAUUUGCAGACAUUUUCACAAAAGGCCAUCUAGCAAAUAUUUUAGGGCUAUGGCUAUUUUGGAAGUUGUUCCAGUUUCAUUACAAUAAUUGAAAAAUAAGGAAAAGUUCUGAAACAUAGCUGUAAAAUUCAGUUGAAAUGACUUAGGAAAUGUACCAGAAAUUUAACAACAACUUGGAGGAGGCCCUUUGCAUACGUGACAUGGCUUAAAAACUCAAGCUGGGCUUAAAUUUUUCACUCUCCUGCUUACUUUGUGGAGUUGCUUAACCAAUCAGAACUCAAAAUGCUUUCUCAGCAGUAAAAUGGAAAUUAGAAUGCGUGGAUUCCAAUUAGAAUGAAUUAUCAGAGCUAGAGAAUUAAGCAAUGUAAUGCAUAUCAGAUGCUUAGCACUAUACCUGGCAUAAAGAAAGUACAGCACUUAACAUGCUAGUUUUCUGUAUUGAUUUAGUAUUGAUCAAUUUGUCAUUUAUGAAUGUAGUGACUGUAGCCAAUGAUGUAAAAAAAAAUAAUUAAAAACAUGAAUAUAGCAAGUUAAUUAAUAUAAGAGAAAGAAGCCAUGGAUCAGAUAAUUGAAAGACAUUAACAAAUUAACAGGGAUGUUUAGAAAUUUUUAUCAACAGAGGUGAAAUUGUUAAUAAAUGUUUGCUAAUUGAUGGGGAAAAUGAAAGCAUUUUGUCUCUUUUGGGAUCAUAGGGCUUUUACAAUGACACUGUAUCCUAUAACUUGAUGAAGUUAUCUUUAUUUUUUAAAUUAUAAAUAUGAAUACAUUACUUGCACCAAUUAAUGGGCUUCACUAGACCUUUCCAUACAUGGAUGUGUCCUGUAGUAAUUGUAUCCACCCUCCCUACCACCCUUUCUUCUUCGCCCUCCCUUCUUCUGUUUCCUUCUCCUGGCUCCUUUUCUUUUUCUUAGUAGUCUCUGCGCUCCUUUCAGGUUCCCUCCCUGCCUUCCUUCCUUCCUUGCCUCCUUCCUUUGUUCGUUGCUACACAGCACAUAGGAGAAUGGUGCUUGGCUUUCUGAGUCUGGCUGAUUUUGUUUA
ensembl:lncRNA